CCAUACGGAGGAAAAGAAACCAACAGGGAUUGCCCCAGUAACGGCGAGUGAAGCGGCAAAAGCUCAAAUUUGAAAUCCUGCGGGAAUUGUAAUUUGAAGGUUUCGUGGUCUGAGUCGGCCGCGCCCAAGUCCAUUGGAACAUGGCGCCUGGGAGGGUGAGAGCCCCGUAUGGCGCACGCCGACUCUUUGCACCGCGGCUCCGACGAGUCGAGUUGUUUGGGAAUGCAGCUCUAAGUGGGUGGUAAAUUCCAUCUAAAGCUAAAUAUUGGCGAGAGACCGAUAGCGAACAAGUACAGUGAUGGAAAGAUGAAAAGCACUUUGAAAAGAGAGUGAAACAGCACGUGAAAUUGUUGAAAGGGAAGGGCUUGCAAGCAGACACGGUUUUACCGGGCCAGCGUCGAAAAGGGGGGAGGAACAAGAACUCGAGAAUGUGGCGCGCACCUUCGGGCGCGCGUGUUAUAGCUCGUGUUGACGCCUCCAUCCCUUUUCGAGGCCUGCGAUUCUAGGACGCUGGCGUAAUGGUUGCAAGCCGCCCGUCUUGAACCC
rnacentral:rRNA from 1 species